rnacentral:rRNA from 1 species
GACGAACCGUGCGAACGUUAUUCGGAAUCAUUGGGCUUAAAGAGCGCGUAGGCGGCGUGACAAGUGAGGGGUGAAAUCCUGUCGGCUCAACCGUGGGACCGCCUUUCAUACUGUCGUGCUAGAGUGAGGUAGGGGCCGGUGGAACUUCCAGUGGAGCGGUGAAAUGUGUUGAGAUUGGAAGGAACGCCAGUGGCGAAAGCGACCGGCUGGAACUCUACUGACGCUGAGGCGCGAAAGCCAGGGGAGCGAACGGG